rnacentral:lncRNA from 1 species
UCUAGGACAUAGAAAUAAGUUUGCCCGAAAUGAUAUGACUGUUUACCAGUAUUAACGAACUGGGAAAUGGGAUGCAUCAUAUGUAUACGUUAGCCCAGAAUGUAAGACUAAAACAUUCUUCAGCCCGUGAUUUAAGUUUAUUUUUGCUUCUAAGAAGAUUUCUUUGGUCUUCUAAGCAAAACAUGAAAAAGUCUGAUCAAGGAGUCGGAAUCUUGACUCUGAGCUGAUUUCUACAGCUAACUCAGGAGUUAGAAACUAGAGCAUCUGUUCUGGGCAGGGCUGUGAAAUUAUUAGCUACUUUUAAGCAAGGGCAAAUACCGUAGCAAACAUUCCUUGGCCUACUCACGACUGCCUUUAACCUGUCUUUAAGCUCCUUGUUAUCCUGUGCUGUACACUUCUGAGAAUUUAGCUGUAUUCACCCCAUGUCCUCACAGCACAUGCAUCUAAGUGUACGGUAUAUAUGUCUGAGUACUGAGAGAUGUAUAGAAGAGGCCUGGGCUCUGACACCAGUGCCAACAGAUAUACAAGGUAACUACUGUCUCAGUAUUUUAAAGUGAACUUUUAUAAAGUUAAUUGCUUACUGUGCUUGCUAAUGUUAUUAAAGGUAUUUUUCAUUUGGAAGUCUAGGAGCCAAGAAAAUAAUCUCUUAUUGCUCAGUAAGGGGGUGAAUAAUGUAAUAAAAUAUUUUUUUUUUUAAACUUUCCCCUGAGAGAAAUACCCUGGUAAAGUGUGCCUGAUGCUCCAGUAGCCAACACCCUCUGAACUUAAAAUGCUGCUACUGAUUCACAAUUGUUCUCCCAGCUCAGGAAGGGAUUUGUGCUUUUGGUGCUGGUGUUGUGAGAUUGCCUGAUUUAAGCCUGCUGUUCAUGCAAGAUCCCUGCAUUGUAAUGUUUGUAAUAUCUGGGCAGAGUAACGCUCCUCUUAUUUUUUCAUGCAGAACCUUUUAUGAACUAAGGUGUUUCUCUUUAAAGAUGGGUAUUUGCUAUAUGGAAGUGGAGAACACAUGCAUUUACCUGGCUACUCAGCCUGUACAGAAAGAGAUUACAGUGACUAAGAGCAGCAGGGCCUAAGGAACUGCUGAGGCAGUUAAUCAACAUGACUGCACUUUCCCAGAACACGGAGAAAACAUCCAAGUUUUGCUACAAUGGACUUUAAGAUCUUACAUACACCUCGGAGUCUGGAGCUAUGGCAUUCCUCCAAAAUAGUUCACAGUUUUUGCAGUUGAAACGUUACUGCAAAAUGGCACUAAAGUGCAUAAGUAAGUAUCUGAAUGUUUGCUGGGCUAAAAGGUGCUGUGCAAGCUUAAGUUACUGCUUUGCCAUUAUAUACAAGAUCAUUUUUCUUUGGGAAGGGGUGCUAGUUCUGGAAAUACCACUGAUUUUAAUUUUGAUGGAGGAUUGUCUACCUUUCACCUUUUUAAAAGAUGUACAGAUCCCCCUUUCUGACUCUUCUGUUGGCCAGAGACAGUAAAAAGAGAAAAUAGUACUCUAGCAAUGCAUUUUAAGUUA